UUCUCUGGAGACACCUGCAAUGCAGGGGCCGAAGGUGCAACGACGCAUAUGCGUCUGGAAUCUCUCAGGCAAAAGGACAGAGUGA
rnacentral:ncRNA from 1 species